rnacentral:rRNA from 1 species
CAUGUCUAAGUAUAAGCAAUUUAUACAGUGAAACUGCGAAUGGCUCAUUAAAUCAGUUAUCGUUUAUUUGAUAGUACCUUACUACUUGGAUAACCGUGGUAAUUCUAGAGCUAAUACAUGCUUAAAAUCCCGACUGUUUGGAAGGGAUGUAUUUAUUAGAUAAAAAAUCAAUGUCUUCGGACUCUUUGAUGAUUCAUAAUAACUUUUCGAAUCGCAUGGCCUUGUGCUGGCGAUGGUUCAUUCAAAUUUCUGCCCUAUCAACUUUCGAUGGUAGGAUAGUGGCCUACCAUGGUUUCAACGGGUAACGGGGAAUAAGGGUUCGAUUCCGGAGAGGGAGCCUGAGAAACGGCUACCACAUCCAAGGAAGGCAGCAGGCGCGCAAAUUACCCAAUCCCGACACGGGGAGGUAGUGACAAUAAAUAACGAUACAGGGCCCUUUCGGGUCUUGUAAUUGGAAUGAGUACAAUGUAAAUACCUUAACGAGGAACAAUUGGAGGGCAAGUCUGGUGCCAGCAGCCGCGGUAAUUCCAGCUCCAAAAGCGUAUAUUAAAGUUGUUGCAGUUAAAAAGCUCGUAGUUGAACCUUGGGCUUGGUUGGCCGGUCCAUCUUUCUGAUGCGUACUGGACCCAACCGAGCCUUUCCUUCUGGCUAGCCUUUUGGCGAACCAGGACUUUUACUUUGAAAAAAUUAGAGUGUUCAAAGCAGGCCUUUGCUCGAAUAUAUUAGCA